rnacentral:rRNA from 1 species
AUGGGGUGCGGGCAGUCCAAGGAGGACGCGGACGGCGCCGUGGAGCGGUGCCGGGAGCGGAAGAACCUGCUGCGGGCGGCCGUCGAGGCGCGGCACGCGCUCUCGGGGGCGCACGCGGGCCACGCGGCCGCGCUCCGGAACGUCGGCGCCGCGCUCUCCGACUACGCCAGCGGCGAGGCGCACGAGGGCGCGCUGCGCCACUCCGCCUCGGCCGCCGCGGUCCUGUCCUCCGCCGGGGGCUCCGGCGCCGAGGCGGCCGCGCUCGCGCUCCCGCCGCCCCCGCCCCCGCCGGGCCCGCCCGAGGACGCCCCAUCGCUCGUCAGGUCCAUGAGCGCGCCCGACCUGCCGCUCCCGCCGGCGAUCAAGAAGAAGCCCUCCGGCGAGGCGCCCAUCAUGGAGGAGGAGGACGAAGGCGAGGACGCGCGGCCUCCGGAGCCGGAGGACGACGGCCAGCUCCAGCCCCCGCCACCGCCGCCACCGCCUCCGACGCAGCUGCCCGCUCCCACGCGUCCCCCGCCCUCCCUGCCGCCGGACACGAGGCGCAAGGGGGAUUCCUGGAGCGAGAUCAUUUUCGGGUCCCCGGACGGCAUAACCGUCCCGCCACCCACUCUGGCACCCAGCGCAGCCGCCGCCGCCUCGUGGGCAGCCGAGCGGGCGGAGGCCCCCGCGCCGCCGCCGCCUCCCCCCGAGCCAGAGGAACAGCCUCUGCGUCCACCGCCAGCGCCGCCCGCGGCCGCCGAGGACGUGGCCAAGGGCAAGAAGCCGAUGGUCGAAGCCGGGGCGCGGAGGGCGGUGACACAGAAGGCCGCGAGGAGGCCGGAGGGCAAGAAAGGCAGGACGGUGGUGAUGGCAGCGCCGGCGGCGGCGAGGCUCGGCGACAUCCUUCGCGACCUCGACGAUCAUUUCCUCAAGGCAUCGGACAGCGCACACGAGGUGUCCAAGAUGCUGGAGGCGGCGCGGAUGCACUACCACUCCAACUUCGCCGAAACGAGAGGAUUUGUGGAUCAUUCUGCUAGAGUGAUGCAAGUUAUCACUUGGAACCGCUCAUUUAAAGGGAUACCACAACCGGAACAGGUGAAGAAUGAGUUAGACGACGCCGAAGGCGAAACACACGCUACCGUUCUCGAGAAGCUGCUUGCAUGGGAGAAAAAACUAUCCCAUGAAGUGAAGGAGUUUGAGGUUAUCAAAAUGGAAUAUCAACAAAAGCUAGCUUCUCUGAACAAGAAGAAGCAGCGUGGGGUCAGUUCUUCAUCAUUUGAGAGGACUAAAUCUGCUGCUAGUCACUUGCAUACAAGAUAUGUUGUGGAUUUGCAAACAAUGGAGUCCACGAUUUCAGAGAUUAAUCGUCUGAGAGAUCAACAACUAUACCCAAAACUUCUUGAACUUGUGAAGGGGAUGGGGCACAUGUGGGACGCAAUGUACAAGCACCACAAAGCACAGCUCAAGAUCAUCUCCGAGCUCAAAUCGUUCGACAUCUCGGUUGCGGCACGGGAAACAAGCGAACAGCACAACGAAAGGACUGUGCAGCUAUGGCAGGUCGUUCAGGAGUGGCACGUGCAGUACAGCAAGUUCAUGGCGUCUCAGAAGGAGUACGUCGGAAACCUCUACAGCUGGAUCAAGCUGAAUGUGAUCCCCAUUGACACCAACCUGAAGGCCAACUCGUCGCAGCCAGUCGAGACGACGCCUCCCAUCAAGAGGCUUCUGCAUGCUUGGCACGAUAUGCUCGGGAAGCUCCCCGACGAGGAUGCUAGGAAGGCCAUACACACAUUUUCGGAGGUGGUACACAUAAUCCUGGUGCACCAAGACGAGGAGAUAAAGCUGAGGCAAAGGAUUCAGGACACGAGGAAGGAGCAUGAGAGGAAGAGCAGGCAGUUCGAGGAUUGGGCGCGGAAGUACAUGGAGAAGAGAGCAGGGAUUCCUCCCGAGGCCGGCAAUCCCGACGGGACGCGCGCCGACCCGCUCGCGGAACGGAAGGCGGCCAUGGAGAAGCUGGAGAAUUCACUGAAAGAACUGGAGGAGGCAUACACGAAGCAAUGCAAGGUGGUGAGGGAGAAAUCCCUGAGCCUCCUACGGACAAACCUGCCGGAGCUGUUCCGCAUCGUGUCGGAAUUCUCCCUCCAGUCGGCGGCGAUGUUCAAGGAUCUGUGGUCGAUCUCGAACACGAAUGACCAGCUGGAUGAUUGA